AUGGGGUACUGUCAAUGUAAUGGUGACCACACGGUGUUCUACAGACACUCACUCUCUAAUCGAAAGAUCACCAUUCUUGCUGUUUAUGUGGAUGACAUUAUCAUCACUGGAGAUGAUGAGGAGGAAAUAAAGAGAUUGAAGGGGUUUCUGAGCAAUGAGUUUGAGGUGAAGGAUUUGGGCAACCUAAAAUACUUCCUUGGGAUUGAAGUGGCCCAGACAGAGAAGGGGAUAUCUUUGUGCCAAAGGAAAUACACCUUGGAUAUCUUGAGUGACAUGGGCAUGAUAGGAUGCCGUGCAACCCCUACACCGAUUGAACAAAAUCAUCAAGUGACAGCUUAG
rnacentral:rRNA from 1 species